rnacentral:rRNA from 1 species
GUACAGAGGGAAGCAAGACCGCGAGGUGGAGCAAAUCCCAGAAAGCCAUCCGUAGUCCGGAUCGGAGUCUGCAACUCGACUCCGUGAAGUCGGAAUCGCUAGUAAUCGCGAAUCAGCAUGUCGCGGUGAAUACGUUCCCGGGCCUUGUACACACCGCCCGUCACACCAUGGGAGUUUGUUGCACCAGAAGCAGGUAGUCUAACCGAAAGGAGGGCGCUUGCCACGGUGUGGCCGAUGACUGGGGUGAAGUCGUAACAAGGUAGCCGUAGGGGAACCUGCGGCUGGAUCACCUCCUUU